GGCUGCAGUCGAGGAUCUUCGGCAAUGGGCGCAAGCCUGACCGAGCGACGCCGCGUGGAGGAUGAAGGCCUUCGGGUUGUAAACUCCUGUCGAGGGGGAGGAAGGGGCAACCUUGACCGAUCCCUGGAGGAAGCACGGGCUAAGUUCGUGCCAGCAGCCGCGGUAAGACGAACCGUGCGAACGUUAUUCGGAAUCACUGGGCUUAAAGCGCGUGUAGGCGGAUGGGAACGUCGGAUACUGAAAGCCCCCGGCUCAACCGGGGAAGUGGUGCCGAAACGACCUGUCUGGAGGGACGUAGGGGGAUCUGGAACUUCCGGUGGAGCGGUGAAAUGCGUUGAGAUCGGAAGGAACGCCCGUGGCGCAAGCGAGGUCCUGGACGUCUGCUGACGCUGAGACGCGAAAGCUAGGGGAGCAAACGGGAUUAGAUACCCCGGUAGUCCUAGCCGUAAACGAUGGGCACUGGGUAGGGGGCUCGCCGAUGGGCUCUCUGCCGUAGCGAAAGCGUGAAGUGCCCCGCCUGGGGAGUAUGGUCGCAAGGCUGAAACUCAAAGGAAUUGACGGGGGCUCACACA
rnacentral:rRNA from 1 species